ensembl:lncRNA
AUGGACAGCUGGACUCUCCAGGGGGACAGCUACUCCUUCCUGCGCAGUGCACCCCACAGAAACCUUUCCCUGUGCCAUCGUGACGGCACCCCCAACCACGUCGAAAUCUUCGACAUCAUCAACGUCCCUCAGCGCAGUGCCAUUUCCGAGACCACCUGCCUGUGUGACAUUUUUGGAGACGACUGUGAGUUGCCCUCCCUCUCAAGCAGCCCUGCUGUAGGGUUUUUUGUCCCUUCCCAUAGGGAGGUAGACGGGACAGCUGCUGCAUCACCUCUGGUGGAUGAUCUGAACGACUCAGGCUCUUAUCACACCGCACCGGGCUCCAGUGAAGGAGAGGAGGGCUUUGAAGAUUCAAGAGAAAGGCUUUGCAGCCCCCUGUUGCAGAGCGAGUCUUCACAGGGGAGGCAGCUGGAGGGCGAUAGACUAAGCUCAGGGCAUCCAGAAGUUUCUGAGGACAGUAGCCCAAAUUUAGAACCUAAAAGCAAAUCACCAGUACCUCAGCUUAGUACAGCUAGCCCAACACCUAAAGGCCUCAACACUGGUGAGAGGACCCCCUCAUCUGGACAUAACAGCCCAUAUACCCUCAGUACAGAGGGAAGAGAAUCAUCUUUGUCUUCUUCCUCAGUUGAAAAAAGAUGUUUACUAUCAUCACCUAGUCCUAGACCAGCUCAUUCAGAAACUGAACCAAGGAGAACCACUCCUGUUGUCAAAGAUAGACAUAACAGCCCUGCGCAUCAGUCUUUAUCUCCGAGUCCCUCCCCUGAACCUCAGAACUGUGUCAGCUCAUCCUCCUCUGAAUCAUUGAACACCCCAUCGUUACCUGAGUUCAGGGUCGUCGCACAAGGCUCACCUGAACAAAGGAGCAGCUACUUUGAUCAACACAGCAGUCCCUCACCUGAGCCCACAUCCAAAGAUUUCUUUCUAGAAUUGACAGAAUCUGCCUUUGAAUCUAGAGCCUCACUUUCAUCUCCUUUACCUUCAUCCAGUAGUACAGAGUUAUCAUCCAAGUUGAGAGAAACACUGGCCUCUCCUGAGCUGAAGAAUAGGCCCUACUCCCCUGAUACUCAAGCAUCAUCUCCUUUUUCUGAGCUAAGAGGGCGGGUCUCACUGCCUGAUCUCCUCAGCAGAGGCUCUACACCUGAUAUUGAAGACUCUCUCCACACCCCAGAGCUGAUUUCAGGUCCUUCUCCUGAGAGCCAAGAUACAAGGUUAUCAGCUGAACUUUUUAGCACUGUGUCUACACCAGCCCCACGAUACACACCACCCUCACCUGUCAUUUCAAUAGCAACAUCUCCUGAACUUGUGGAAAGUAGUGUCUCACCUGAUUUAAGACACACAGCUCCCUCCCCUGGACUACUCAGUGUUGCUUCUUCUGAGACAAGAACUCCCUCUCCUGACCCCUCACAUAAAAUAAGACACAUUUCAACACCUUCUGAAAGCAGGACCCAGGUGUCUUCACCUGUGGUUAGUUAUAGUUUAUCUCCAUCACCGGAAUUUACGAGCAACACUUCUCCCAUAAAGCACAGACACACUGCUUCCUCACCUUUAAUCAGAAUUACAACAUCCUCACCUGAGGUCAGUAAGAGAGAGUGGUCUUCUGAGGUGGAGACAGCAUCAGCAUCUCCUUUCCUAGAGCUUCACCCUGACUCUGCCUCAACAAGAAGCCUCACUUCGUCCCCUCAUAUUACAGGGAUUUCUUACUCUGUUGUUCAGCCUGAGGACAGGUGCACUUCCCCAUUUCCUGAGCUCUCUCGUUUCUCCACCCCUAAGCCUGAUAGAACACUUGUGUCCCCUGAAGCCAGGAGCCCUACCCCAAGCAGAGACAGUAUUCAGAGCAGUGUAGCAGAUUCCACUGGUACACCAAGAGACUUCCCUCACAUAUCAGGCUUCACAAGCUCUGUCCUGCAGCCUGAAAUAACUCUACCGCACCAACCCUGGUAUCAAACACCUUCUAAUCAUCCAAAGCAUCACACUCCCUCACCUGAGCCAAGAUAUCAAACCCCUUCAUCGGACAAGUAUCAAAGUCCCUCACCUCAGCACAGAAGUAGAAAUUCAUCACCUGUUGCCCCAUCUCCUGAGCAGAGGUAUCAUCAGCCUUCACCAGCAACCCUCUCCACUGAGUGCAACCCUCAGUACACACAGCUUACUCCUCCUCUAAGAAAAACACCUGAGGUUGAGGGGGAUUCCUCAUCAGUUGAUAUUACAGUAACACAAUAUCCCACACAUCUGGCAAAAGAGAGUGUGUCACCCACUUUUGAAUUAGACAGGAGAGACAAAUCAGUUGUAGCUGAAAUGAAAAGCAAUUCAACAGUGGUGGCAGUUCAGUCACCUGUAUCUACUUCAGCUUUCUUAGCUGAUACAAUGGUAGAUAGUUCACUAAAACAACAAAGCACAGAGACAGAGGAAACAACAAAGGAAGAUAACCUUCAAGAUAAGUCAAGUUUAGCUUCAUUCCCUGAGGAAAAACAAACCAUUAGCCCCACCUUUGUUCAGAAAGAAGAUAUUUACAAAAAUCCCCCCAUAGAAAUCAAGUCUCCCUCUCCUAAUCUUCUAGUCUCUAAAGACAGGAGUCCAAAUAUUUCACUCGUACACAGGGCUAUAUCCAACUCACCUGUGCAGAGAAUGGGAGACACACAGCCUCACUUCACUAAUUAUUCCCUAACUUCUGAAAGCAGCAGCUCAUUAAAAUCAGCUUGUACACCUGAGCCUGCGAGAAGACAACUGUCAACCAGAGUUAGGCGUGAAAACAAAGAGAGGAUAACAGAGGACAUGGCCCACUAUGUAAACAGAAGGCGGACUCCCUCUCCGCCACUCACCAGGUUUACACCGGUCCACAUUAUAGCCCCUGAAAAACCGUACAGACAGUGGCAGAACAGAAGCUGUAGCCCCUCUCAGGUUGAAGCAUCCUCACCACGUGGUAAUUUAAAGAAAGCUGUGACAAAUAGGGAAAGCCCCAAUGUUGCCCAUGUUGACAAUAAUAGCCAGGCUCACUGGGUCAGGCAAGGAAGGCAAUUGGAGAUGGAGAGGGAAAUACAGCUGGAGGAGGAUAGGGAGGUAGGAAGGGAGAAGCAAAGGGAUAGGGAGAUGGAGAGAGAGAGAAAGAAGAGGGAGGAGCGGGUUCCUGAAAAGGGGAUGGGUUGGCAGGGGGACGCCAGUUACAGAGGGGAACAGGUUGAGCUGUCAUUCAAUGCCAGGAAUAGAAAAGGGCCUGCGAGUUGCAGCACAGCUCCCACAAGCAGAGAGAACCGUCAGGGACUGCCAACAGUGCAUUCCUAUUCAGAGAGCUUGCUUGCCACCAGACAGCUACAGCAACAACAGAGUCUGCUUAGACUGGCUUCCCAACAAGACACCAGGGGUGGUGGUCCCAGCAGACGGCUUCAACCUUCUGCACCCCACAACAAGAAGAGUGUUCCUGGACGCAGGGCUGCAAACAGGCCUGACCGGAGUUCCAGCUCUAGCAUGGGAAGUGAGCUUGAUGAGGCAGACGAUGAGGUGACGUGGUUUUCGGACUUGGCUUUCAGCAGCCUGUCAAGCCCUGAGGUAGAUUACCUUGACAUGUACAACUCCAGCCACCAUUCAUCUACCAACAUUUCUCAACCAUCUAUGCAGGAGAGCCCAGCUGGUGUCAAUGCUGCCUGGCCGGCCUAUGCUGACUUCAGGGGUUCUGCUCCCAAGCUGGACAAUGAUGAACUCUCCCUCCAGCAACCAUCGGCAUACUACACAGAUGGCCUAGAUCAAUCAAGGCACUAUGAGAUGGGGAGCUUUGAGUGCGUAGAUGUGGCCGUGGAUAGAGGGGACUCCAGGAGGGUGAGGAAGGGAGUACCAAAGAGACAAAUUCAGCUGAAGAGAAAGAAUAAUGCUGAAGGGAAGCAGGAUGGGAGCAGUGGAAAUAGCAGUCCUGGGUUACCAGUGAUGGAGGAAAGCCCCUCUCUAAAAAGUUGCUCCAGAGAGACAUUCAUGAGACAACACAGUACACCAGCAGCAAUGCAAGAAUGCUACCCUUCUGAGUGCAGCCCUGUGUCUAGUCAACAAAAUGAAAGAAGAUCCAAACUCCAGAAAUCUGUUUCUCUGGAUGAAACAUGCACUAAAACCAAGAUGGCCACUUGUCUCAUCAAGAGUGUGUUGUCCAAGAAGAUGCAGAGUGUUGAUCGACAACCUGAUGAGCAGGCAAGAGAAGAAGAAAGUCCCACUUUUGAGGAAAACAGCCCACCAACAGAGAGUACAGUAGCACCACUCAAAGAGUCCUCAAAGCCUGACUCACAUAAUAUGAGUUCCAGUCUUCAGUCAGAGUAUAGUCUUUCAUCUGAGGUCCUUCCUGUGAGAGGAGAACCAAGCACAAAGGAUGAAGCCAAACCAACAAAAAACUUUGGAGUGAGAUCCAGUAACAGGCCAAGUUCAUCCAGCAGCAGCCAAAGUGUUAACUUUUCACAGACUGAGAGUGAAGAGGCUGAUUCUCAAAGCAGGAAAGCAGCCUCACUAAGAUCUAAAAUGAGAUCAGAAUUGAAAGUGCCAUAUAGUAAACAGUCAAGAACUAGAGUACAACGAGCAGAUGAAAGUAAAACAUGGGACGGAAUAGAGGGUGGUGACUUAGCAAAUGCCACUGCCGGUAACACAGGAUCUCUUUCUGCCUUUGGAGCCAGCAGCAUGCAGACCAGGGUGACAAACAGAGACCAGGAAUGUGUAAACAAAGAGGACCAUAAACAACUGCAACAGUGUGUCAAGGGCGCUUAUAUGUCACAAACACAGGAGAUUACACUCAAAGCCGUGGAGAAAAAGAAAGCCUCCCUAAAUGUCUGUCUCACACCUGACGCAGAAAACAAACCUGAGGCCUCUUCACCAGAUAUAAAGGAGGAAACGCUAGGGAUCAGUGUAAAUGAGAAACCAGAGGAGGAAGAAGGAAAUGGGAAUAAUAAAGUUAAGGUCCCCAUUCACAAAGUUAGAGAUGUGAGACGACUUGUAAAAAAUACAUAUAAUCUGUCUUUCAAGGCAACUAGUGCUGUAAUGCCAUCAAAUGUUGAUGACAACAGGAUGGACAUUUUAAAUGAGGAAAGGAGGGAAGAAAUUAAAGAGGAAAGGAGGGAAGAGGUCCUAGCACGGGAGGAGAGGGAGGUAAGGCAAGAGAUAAGGAGGGGGGAGAGGAGGGCGGAACAGAAAAAGGAGGUAAAAGACUUAAAGCUGCAAACCUUAUCUCCACCUCUUCAGAGCAAAGGAAGUCCUGUUUCACGUCCACAGCCAAUGCAAAUAGAAUACAAGGCUGUUUGCUGGAAAGAAGGCAAUAAUAAAAUGUCAUGCAGCAAGAAAGACUCAGAGAACCAAGGUGACAAACCUCAGGCUUCUCCAAAGCUUGUCACGAAGGUAAGCAGAGAAUCACCCUUGAAUGCAAACACAAUAAAUUACAAAACAGGAGACACAGAUAUUGCAAAGCCAUGUCAACAUGGUCCUAACAUGGCAGCAGGAGCACAAGAGACUUUGACAGAAAUCCAUAAAGUGCAAGACAACGAUGACAAACCUGUGGUGGUUAGAACAGACAGAAAACCUCCCAUGCUCGGUAGCCUCCCCAAACUACCCAGUAAAGAAAGAGAGGUGUCCACUGCUGUAGUGUUAAUAAGGGAUGGAUCCAGCAAGACAAAGCCAUCUGCAUCUCCAGCCCAGGGAGAGAUUCCCACGUCACUCCAAGCCCCGGCUGCUUCACCUUCACCUGGGCCCACUAACACUGGUAGCAGUGGCCACUCAGUUUCUAUGUUAUUAAAGGAAAAAGGCUACCACGCUGACAUUGGAGCAGUGGUGGGUGACAACCAGAAUGCACCUGGAGGUAAAGAGGUUCUCCGUAAGCAUGUGAACAGCCUAGAGAUCCCCCUUCAGACCCCCACUCCUUCAGAUGGAGGUCAGAUCGAGUCUCAUAGAGAGAGGACAUUCUCCUCCUCAUCCACUACAUCUGGUCCCUCAGUAGCAUCUGACAACACAGACACCCUUACAAAGACUAGAGAGGAUGAGAGAGUUAGCAGUAAGCCUACAGUAAAAGACACAGGAAAGCAAAAAAGUGCUUCUCCGCUGAGGAAUACGCAGGAGCAAACACCACCUCUCGCCAAACAGAAGGAACCUGGAGAUUUUGAAGUAGUAAAAAGACCAGAUCCAACUUUCCCCCCAAGGUCACCUGCAGUAAGGAGAUUCAGACCACAGCCAAUUGAGGUUAAGUCACUGUCUAAAGAAACACAGAAACAAGAGACCCCCACAAACUCUACAGGAACCAGUAGGCCUCAAGCCAUUGAAGUUAAAUCUAUAGCAAAACAUUCUCAAAAGCCAGCAGUGCCUCCAAAGCCAAGCUGCAAAUUUAUACCUGCAGAUUUAGGAGCAAUGCCAAAUGAAGCGCAUGGACUAUCAGCAACAACAUCUACUGUAAAACCACAAGGCGAGGAGAGGCCUCAAACAAUUGUAGUGUCCUCACCGACAAUCUAUAGAAAGAUCUCCAAUGAAUCCACAUCAACGUCAAACUAUUCAAGAAAACUAGCUGUGUCUGCAGUAUCCAGCCUCAAACCUCCAUCUUGCAAAGCAACAGCAACCACCAUCUCUAAUCUCUCAAACCAGUCAACAACACCAUCAGAGACAGAGGCAUCCAAUGACAAAGGUCAGCAGCAAAAGCCAGGGGCUUCGCCUCAAAACUCCAGAUAUACACAAAGACCCUCAACCUUUGCUACAGCUCUAAUAUCAGUCACUGAGCCAGGUUUAACCUCAGCUCCAGGCCCAGUGUCUGACCCAAAAGCAAACCCUGCCCCUGUCCCUGACUUGGCUGGAGCCAACCAGGCAAUGGAUUCAGACAGCCAACCACAGUAUCCCAGGACGGCUUACCCUCAUGAACAAGCUAUGCCGGUAACUUCAAACAAUACAAAGCAACUCACAGCUGUUUCCACAACACAAGUGCCAGGAUAUAUGCACCAGCCAUGCCGCAGAUCGCUCUCCAGCGAGCGCUCCCAAUGGACAAACGACAUGCGUUUUUAUGCCUCAGAUGACCCUCCAAGCUACGAUGAAAGGGAGAGCUUCAGUCCCCUCAUGCUCCCAGAUCUGAACCCCAGGAGGUCAAAUCGCUAUCAACCCUCCUCCCGCCCUCCUCCCUGCUCCUGCACAGCUAGCUGCCCUUCCCACCCUCGUCUCACCCCUCCUCACCAUCACCACAGCCCCCAUAACCUUACCCCUCCCGCCCCUCCUCACUCUCCAGGCCAGGCACUACCUUACCCAGUGGUUCAGCCCCCACUCCGUCCCCACCAGUGCAGACCUGACCCUCAGCCAAUGAGCUACCAGCCCGGCUCUCCCAAAUCAAGUCCCCUUGGUCCAAGCCAACCACCAGCCAUGUAUCAGCCUCUCCACCAGCCUCCUCCUUGCCCUCCCCAUCCCUCGCUCAUGCAGGCCUGCCCUGUCCAGCCACUACAGCAUAUUGACCCUCGACGACCCCCUGUCCACAGAUCCCCCCAGCAACAGCCGCCAGGCAUGGCUGGGGCUCCUUACAGCGAUCCUGGCCACGACCACUCUCCUGGCCUUCCUCCGAUGGAUCCCCAGUACCUGUGUGGCCCUCAGAGCCUGGGGCCUUCCUAUGGCUCUGAAUAUGGGGGCGACAGCUCCAGUUUGUACUCAGACAGUAGCUAUGGACAGACACCUCGCAGAGUGCUCCUGGAUCCUGAAACAGGGAAGUAUUUUUACAUUGAGGUGCCUCUACAGCCACUGAGGAAAAUGUUGUUUGACCCAGAGACUGGCCAAUAUGUGGAAGUGCUAAUCCCGCAGCAAGCAAUGUCACAUUCAGGCCUGUAUCCUCCUUCAGCAGCUCCCUACACAUCUCUCCACAAUCCCAACAUGUACGCUCCUGCUCCACAGUACAUGCCCUAUGCAGCUCCUCCUCCCCAAGCCCAUCCCCAGACUCAACCUCAGCCACCUCGAUAUCCUGAGGCCGCAGCAACAAUGCACCCUGGUGGGCCUGGAGUCAGCUACAGGAAUCCUUCUGGCCAGGGGUCCAAAUCAGAGCCCCAAAACCAUCCACCACUGGACCAGAGUUACCUGGAGAAUAUGUAUUAUGUUCCCACAGGGAUGAAUGCGAGCCCCAAUCCUACCCCACCAGAUUAUUACCACAAACAUCCCCCCAACAUACCCCCAACAGGGGGGAAAAGGUCCUGA